GACGAACGCUGGCGGCGUGCUUAACACAUGCAAGUCGAGCGGUAAGGCCCUUUCGGGGGUACACGAGCGGCGAACGGGUGAGUAACACGUGGGUGACCUGCCCUUAGCUCUGGGAUAAGCCUGGGAAACUGGGUCUAAUACCGGAUGUGACUCCAUAACGCAUGUUGUGGGGUGGAAAGCCUUGUGCGGCUAGGGAUGGGCCCGCGGCCUAUCAGCUUGUUGGUGGGGUGAUGGCCACCAAGGCGACGACGGGUAGCCGGCCUGAGAGGGCGACCGGCCACACUGGGACUGAGACACGGCCCAGACUCCUACGGGAGGCAGCAGUGGGGAAUCUUGCGCAAUGGGCGAAAGCCUGACGCAGCGACGCCGCGUGGGGA
rnacentral:rRNA from 1 species